rnacentral:rRNA from 1 species
AUGGCUGAGCCUCUGAAGGCAAACGGCAAUGGAGCUGCCGAAGGGGGUGCUGCGGGCUCUGCGUUUGCAUCGGUGAAGGUGCCGCCGUCGCCGCCAAGGAGGCUGCAGAGGUUCGACUCCCUGCAUAUGGAGGCCGGGAAGAUUCCUGGUGGCCACAGCUAUGCAGCCAAGCAGGUUGGCUGGGCGACGACACUGCACUUGGCCUUCCAGAGCCUAGGUGUGGUUUAUGGGGACAUGGGAACUUCACCCCUCUAUGUGUUCUCCAGCACCUUUACUGGUGGGAUCAAGGACACAGAUGACCUCCUUGGUGUCAUGUCCUUGAUAAUCUAUACUGUACUUCUCCUUCCAUUGAUGAAAUAUUGUUUCAUUGUCUUGAGAGCUAAUGACAACGGCGAUGGCGGAACAUUUGCACUUUAUUCCUUGAUAUCUCGGUAUGCUAGGAUUAGCUUGAUACCAAACCAGCAGGCUGAAGAUGCAACAGUCUCUCACUACAAGUUAGAGUCCCCUACGAAUCGUGUCAAGCGGGCUCAUUGGAUUAAGGAAAAGAUGGAAAACAGCCCGAAAUUUAAGGUCAUACUUUUCCUAGUGACAAUUCUAGCAACAUCAAUGGUUAUUGGUGACGGUGUGCUAACUCCAUGUAUUUCAGUGCUUAGUGCAGUUACGGGAAUCAAGCAAUCAGCAAAGUCGUUAACUCAAGGACAAAUUGCUGGCAUCGCAAUCGGCAUUCUGAUCGCCCUCUUUCUUGUCCAGCGCUUUGGCACAGACAAAGUUGGUUACACAUUUGGCCCAGUAAUCUUUAUAUGGUUCAUCUUAAUUGCCGGCAUUGGAAUUUAUAAUUUGAUCAAACAUGAUACUGGAAUUCUGAAAGCAUUCAACCCACAAUACAUAGUGGAAUAUUUCCAAAGAAAUGGGAAGGACGGCUGGAUUUCGCUUGGAGGUGUUAUCUUAUGCAUUACAGGAACCGAAGCAAUGUUUGCUGACCUUGGUCACUUCAAUGUGAGAGCAAUUCAGAUUGGCUUUUCUGCAGUUCUGCUCCCAUCAGUAUUGCUUGCUUACAUGGGACAGGCUGCAUAUCUUCGCAUCCACCCUGAAGAUGUUGCAGAUACAUUCUACAAAUCAAUCCCAGGUCCAUUAUAUUGGCCAACAUUUGUGGUGGCCGUGGCUGCUGCUAUAAUUGCAAGCCAAGCUAUGAUUUCUGGUGCCUUUGCAAUCAUUGCUCAGUCCCAAGUUCUUGGUUGCUUUCCACGGGUUCGUGUCACUCACACCUCAAAAAAGUAUCAUGGGCAGGUCUACAUCCCUGAGAUCAACUAUGCAUUAAUGAUCUUAUGUGUAGCUGUGACAGCUAUUUUCCAAACUACAGACAAGAUUGGCAAUGCAUAUGGUAUCGCUGUCGUCUUUGUGAUGUUCAUAACAACACUUCUAGUCACACUGGUAAUGGCCAUGAUAUGGAAGACAAGUCUGCUGUGGAUUGCACUCUUUCCAAUAAUAUUUGGCGGCGCAGAGCUCGUGUACUUAUCCUCAGCAUUCUACAAAUUUGUAGAAGGUGGCUACUUGCCACUAGGUUUUGCAGCAAUUUUGAUGCUUAUAAUGGGCACAUGGCACUAUGUUCAUGUUCAUCGGUACAAAUACGAGCUCAAGAACAAAGUGUCAAACAACUAUGUGGCAGAUUUGGCAACAAGGAGAAAUCUUGCUAGGUUGCCAGGAAUAGGCGUUCUGUACUCUGAGCUUGUGCAAGGAAUCCCACCCAUACUGCCCCAUUUGGUAGAAAAAGUACCUUCCAUCCAUUCAGUUCUUGUGAUUACCUCAAUAAAGUACUUACCAAUCAGCAAUAUAGAAACAAAUGAGCGGUUCCUCUUCCGAUACGUGGAGCCAAGAGAAUACAGGGUAUUCCGAUGUGUGGUGCGCUAUGGUUACAACAAUAAAGUAGAAGAUCCAAGAGAGUUCGAGAACUUGCUUAUUGGGAACUUGAAGCAAUUCAUCCAUCAAGAAUCACUCUACAGCGAAAGUAGUCAUUCCCUUGAAGGAGAAGAUAAUGCAUUCGAAGAAUCAGGAGAUGCAAUGGAGCCUUCUAUUGAAGUUCAAGAUGCAAGGUUGCCGAAAAGGUUUUUAGAUGGAAUCACUGCUAGCCCAGUGAACGGGUUAAUGGAUGAGAUAGAGUUUAUUCAGAGAGGGAUGGAUGAUGGUGUUGUCCAUCUGCUGGGAGAAACUAAUGUGGUGGCGGAGCAAAAUGCCGGUUUGGUGAAGAAAAUAAUAGUUGACUACGCCUACAAUUUCAUGAGGAAGAACUUCAGGCAACCAGAGAAGAUCACAUGUGUCCCUCAUAACAGGCUGCUGCGGGUGGGAAUGACAUACGAGAUCUAG